GGGUGAUUAGCUCAGCUGGGAGAGCACCUCCCUUACAACGAGGGGGUCGGCGGUUCGAUCCCGUCAUCACCCACCA
rnacentral:tRNA from 1 species